AUUGAACGCUGGUGGCAUGCUUUACACAUGCAAGUCGAACGGUAACAGGGUGCUUGCACCGCUGACGAGUGGCGAACGGGUGAGUAAUGCGUCGGAACGUGCCGAGUAGUGGGGGAUAACGCAUCGAAAGGUGUGCUAAUACCGCAUACGUACUGAGGUAGAAAGUGGGGGACCUGCGGGCCUCACGCUAUUCGAGCGGCCGACGUCUGAUUAGCUAGUUGGUGAGGUAAAGGCUCACCAAGGCGACGAUCAGUAGCGGGUCUGAGAGGAUGAUCCGCCACACUGGGACUGAGACACGGCCCAGACUCCUACGGGAGGCAGCAGUGGGGAAUUUUGGACAAUGGGCGCAAGCCUGAUCCAGCCAUGCCGCGUGUCUGAAGAAGGCCUUCGGGUUGUAAAGGACUUUUGUCCGGGAGCAAUUACCCAGUGCUAAUAACGCUGGGGGCUGAGAGUACCGGAAGAAUAAGCACCGGCUAACUACGUGCCAGCCGCCGCAGUAA
rnacentral:rRNA from 1 species